UGGGGAAUUUUGGACAAUGGGCGAAAGCCUGAUCCAGCAAUGCCGCGUGUGUGAAGAAGGCCUUCGGGUUGUAAAGCACUUUUGUCCGGAAAGAAAUCCUUGGCUCUAAUACAGUCGGGGGAUGACGGUACCGGAAGAAUAAGCACCGGCUAACUACGUGCCAGCAGCCGCGGUAAUACGUAGGGUGCAAGCGUUAAUCGGAAUUACUGGGCGUAAAGCGUGCGCAGGCGGUUUGCUAAGACCGAUGUGAAAUCCCCGGGCUCAACCUGGGAACUGCAUUGGUGACUGGCAGGCUAGAGUAUGGCAGAGGGGGGUAGAAUUCCACGUGUAGCAGUGAAAUGCGUAGAGAUGUGGAGGAAUACCGAUGGCGAAGGCAGCCCCCUGGGCCAAUACUGACGCUCAUGCACGAAAGCGUGGGGAGCAAACAGGAUUAGAUACCCUGGUAGUCCACGCCCUAAACGAUGUCAACUAGUUGUUGGGGAUUCAUUUCCUUAGUAACGUAGCUAACGCGUGAAGUUGACCGCCUGGGGAGUACGGUCGCAAGAUUAAAACUCAAAGGAAUUGACGGGGUCAUAGCUGUUUUCCU
rnacentral:rRNA from 1 species